rnacentral:rRNA from 1 species
AUUGAACGCUGGCGGCAGGCUUAACACAUGCAAGUCGAGCGGGGGAAGGUAGCUUGCUACCGGACCUAGCGGCGGACGGGUGAGUAAUGCUUAGGAAUCUGCCUAUUAGUGGGGGACAACAUCUCGAAAGGGAUGCUAAUACCGCAUACGUCCUACGGGAGAAAGCAGGGGAUCUUCGGACCUUGCGCUAAUAGAUGAGCCUAGGUCGGAUUAGCUAGUUGGUGGGGUAAAGGCCUACCAAGGCGACGAUCUGUAGCAGGUCUGAGAGGAUGAACCGGCACACGGGGACUGGAACACGGGCCAGAAUCCUACGGGAGGGAGCAGUGGGGAAUAUUGGACAAUGGGGGGAACCCUGAUCCAGCCAUGCCGCGUGUGUGAAGAAGGCCUUAUGGUUGUAAAGCACUUUAAGCGAGGAGGAGGCGACUCUAGGUAAUACCUAGGGAUAGUGGACGUUACUCGCAGAAUAAGCACCGGCUAACUCUGUGCCAGCCGCCGCCGUAA